rnacentral:rRNA from 1 species
GACGUAGGGGGCAAGCGUUGUCCGGAAUUACUGAGCGUAAAGAGCUCGUAGGUGGUUUGUCGCGUUGUUCGUGAAAUUCCCUGGCUUAACUGGGGGCGUGCGGGCGAUACGGGCAGACUGGAGUACUGCAGGGGAGACUGGAAUUCCUGGUGUAGCGGUGAAAUGCGCAGAUAUCAGGAGGAACACCGGUGGCGAAGGCGGGUCUCUGGGCCGAUACUGACGCUGAGGCGCGAAAGCCAGGGGAGCGAACGGA